UCCUGUAUAUCCAUACGAAGUAAUUCCUGCCCAGUGACUAACGUUUAACGGCCGCGGUAUCCUAACCGUGCAAAGGUAGCAUAAUCACUUGCCCGUUAAUUGCGGGCUAGAAUGAAAGGACUAACGAAAUAAAAACUGUCUCUAUAAGCCCAAUAAAAAUUAAUCUCUAACUGAAGAGUGUUAGAUACUAUCGAAGGACAAGAAGACCCUAUAGAGCUUCAUUUUAACAAAGUUAAGCAACUUUACUACAAUUCGGUUGGGGCGACCAGGGACAUAGAUAAUCAUCCCUCUUUUUUAGAUCCUAAAUCUCUCUUUUGACCCUAAUUAAAGAUCACAAAAACAAGCUACCUUAGGGAUAACAGGCUAAUCCCACUAAAGAGUCCUUAUCAAUAGUGGGGAUUGGCACCUCGAUGUUGGCUUAGGGAAUCUAUGUGGCGCAAAAGUCAUAUAAAGAUGGUUUGUUCAACCAAGAAUACCCUACAUGAGCUGAGUUCAGACCGGCGUAAGCCAGGUUAGUUUCUAUCCUCGACAAAUACAUCUAUUUAUAGUACGAAAGGACCUAAAUAAGAGUAAUAAUUACAUACAAAGAAUAAAUAUAACAUAUCUUAACCCUUGAAACACAUCAAAUAUG
rnacentral:rRNA from 1 species